GAUGAACGCUGGCGGCGUGCCUAAUACAUGCAAGUCGAGCGAACAGACGAGGAGCUUGCUCCUCUGACGUUAGCGGCGGACGGGUGAGUAACACGUGGAUAACCUACCUAUAAGACUGGGAUAACUUCGGGAAACCGGAGCUAAUACCGGAUAAUAUAUUGAACCGCGUGGUUCAAUAGUGAAAGACGGUUUUGCUGUCACUUAUAGAUGGAUCCGCGCCGCAUUAGCUAGUUGGUAAGGUAACGGCUUACCAAGGCGACGAUGCGUAGCCGACCUGAGAGGGUGAUCGGCCACACUGGAACUGAGACACGGUCCAGACUCCUACGGGAGGCAGCAGUAGGGAAUCUUCCGCAAAGGGCGAAAGCCUGACGGAGCAACGCCGCGUGAGUGAUGAAGGUCUUCGGAUCGUAAAACUCUGUUAUUAGGGAAGAACAAAUGUGUAAGUAACUAUGCACGUCUUGACGGUACCUAAUCAGAAAGCCACGGCUAACUACGUG
rnacentral:rRNA from 1 species